UGAAGGCAAAGAGGCAGUAAUUCCUGCUGGAGAGGAAAAAAAGUCACCUUGGGAGCAGUGGAGCUUCUCAGCUGGCCAGGAAGGAGCCACCCUAAGGUUCGUGUCUCCUAGUUCCAGGGAGAUUGGCACUCCCCCACCACCUGAGAGAGUCGUCACCAAGCUCCAGAUCUGAGCACACAGCAGGGGCUGGCAUUGUCUGGGUGUCUUAGGGACAGGAACAGAGGGUGGAGGGUCUGCGAGUAAGGAAGACAGAGUCCCUGCUCCCUAGCUGUCUGACAGGUAUCCAGGCCAGAAAGGGAGGUGCACGUGGGCGACUUAGCGGUAGAGGUGAGGCCACUGUUCCUGCAAGCAUUCCAGGAAGGGGGCCGUCAAGGUCCUUGCCAAGGCCAUGUGAGGUCCUCGCUGG
rnacentral:lncRNA from 1 species